rnacentral:rRNA from 1 species
GACGAACGCUGGCGGCGUGCCUAACACAUGCAAGUCGAACGGAACUGUUUUGAAAGAUUUCUUCGGAAUGAAUUUGAUUUAGUUUAGUGGCGGACGGGUGAGUAACGCGUGAGUAACCUGCCUUCAAGAGGGGAAUAACAUUCUGAAAAGAAUGCUAAUACCGCAUGACAUAUCGGAACCACAUGGUUUUGAUAUCAAAGAUUUUAUCGCUUGAAGAUGGACUCGCGUCCGAUUAGUUAGUUGGUGAGGUAACGGCUCACCAAGACCGCGAUCGGUAGCCGGAGUGAGAGGUUGAGCGGCCACAUUGGGACUGAGGCACGGCCCAGACUCCUACGAGAGGCAGCAGUGGGGGAUAUUGCGCAAGGGGGGCAACCCUGACGCAGCAACGGCGCGUGAAGGAUGAAGGUUGUCGGAGUGGAAACUUCUUUUAUUAAGGACGAAAAAUGACGGUACUUAAUGAAUAAGCUCCGGCUAACUACGUG